AAACGACUCUCGGCAACGGAUAUCCUGGCUCUCGCAUCGAUGAAGAACGUAGCGAAAUGCGAUACUUGGUGUGAAUUGCAGAAUCCCGUGAACCAUCGAGUUUUUGAACGCAAGUUGCGCCCGAUGCCUUUAGGCUGAGGGCACGUCUGCCUGGGUGUCACGU
rnacentral:rRNA from 1 species